UCCUACGGGAGGCAGCAGUGGGGAAUUUUCCGCAAUGGGCGAAAGCCUGACGGAGCAAUACCGCGUGAGGGAAGACUGCCUAUGGGUUGUAAACCUCUUUUUUCAGGGAGGAAUCAAUGACGUGUACCUGAAGAAUAAGCAUCGGCUAACUCCGUGCCAGCAGCCGCGGUAAGACGGAGGAUGCAAGUGUUAUCCGGAAUCACUGGGCGUAAAGCGUCUGUAGGUGGUUUAAUAAGUCAACUGUUAAAUCUUGAGGCUCAACUUCAAAAUCGCAGUCGAAACUAUUAGACUAGAGUAUAGUAGAGGUAAAGGGAAUUUCCAGUGGAGCGGUGAAAUGCGUAGAUAUUGGAAAGAACACCGAUGGCGAAAGCACUUUACUGGGCUAUUACUAACACUCAGAGACGAAAGCUAGGGUAGCAAAUGGGAUUAGAUACCCCAGUAGUCCUAGCCGUAAACAAUGGAUACUAGAUGUUGAACAGAUCGACCUGUGCAGUAUCAAAGCUAACGCGUUAAGUAUCCCGCCUGGGAAGUAUGCUCGCAAGAGUGAAACUCAAAUGAAUUGACGGA
rnacentral:rRNA from 1 species